rnacentral:rRNA from 1 species
GACAGAGGGUGCAAACGUUGUUCGGAAUUACUGGGCGUAAAGCGCGUGUAGGCUGCUCAGAAAGUCGGAUGUGAAAGCCCUGGGCUUAACCUAGGAAGAGCAUUCGAAACUUCUGAGCUUGAGUUCUGGAGAGGAAGGCGGAAUUCUCGGUGUAGAGGUGAAAUUCGUAGAUAUCGAGAGGAACACCGGUGGCGAAGGCGGCCUUCUGGACAGUGACUGACGCUGAGACGCGAAAGCGUGGGGAGCGAACAGG